rnacentral:tRNA from 1 species
AAGCCCUAGAGGGUAUUGAACCCCCUUCUCGUGAUUAGAAGUCACGCGUUCUACAUUUAAACUAUAGGGCC